GACAGAGGGUGCAAACGUUGCUCGGAAUCACUGGGCGUAAAGGACGUAUAGGCAGGAAGGUAAGUCGGACGUGAAAUCCCUAAACUCAACCCAGGAACUGCACUCGAAACUACUUUUCUUGAGUGCCGGAGAGGAAAGCGGAAUUCCUGGUGUAGAGGUGAAAUUCGUAGAUAUCAAAAGGAACACCAAUGGCGAAAACGGCUUUCUGGACGGUAACUGACGCUGAGACGCGAAAGCGUGGGGAGCAAAC
rnacentral:rRNA from 1 species